rnacentral:rRNA from 1 species
GACGAACGCUGGCGGCGUGCUUAACACAUGCAAGUCGAACGCUGAAGACCUUGCUUUUGUUGGGUUGGAUGAGUGGCGAACGGGUGAGUAACACGUGAGUAACCUGCCCUCUUCUUUGGGAUAACGCCCGGAAACGGGUGCUAAUACUGGAUAUUCACUGAUCUUCGCAUGGGGGUUGGUGGAAAGGUUUGUUCUGGUGGGGGAUGGGCUCGCGGCCUAUCAGCUUGUUGGUGGGGUGAUGGCCUACCAAGGCUUUGACGGGUAGCCGGCCUGAGAGGGUGACCGGUCACAUUGGGACUGGGAUACGGCCCAGACUCCUACGGGAGGCAGCAGUGGGGAAUAUUGCACAAUGGGCGAAAGCCUGAUGCAGCGACGCCGCGUGAGGGAUGGAGGCCUUCGGGUUGUAAACCUCUUUCGCUCAUGGUCAAGCCGCAACUGUGGGUUGUGGUGAGGGUAGUGGGUAAAGAAGCGCCGGCUAACUACGUG